GAUGAAGAACGUAGCGAAAUGCGAUACGUAAUGUGAAUUGCAGAAUUCAGUGAAUCAUCGAAUCUUUGAACGCACAUUGCGCCCCUUGGUAUUCCGGGGGGCAUGCCUGUUCGAGCGUCAUUUCAACCCUCAAGCUUCUGCUUGGUCUUGGGCCGUGCCGGCAACGGCUGGCCUUAAAACUAGUGGCGGUGCCAUCGAGCUCUACGCGUAGUAAUUCUAUCUCGCGUCUGGGCUUCGGUGGACGCUGGCCAGCAACCCCCAAUUUUCUAUGGUUGACCUCGGAUCAGGUAGGGAUACCCGCUGAACUUAAGCAUAUCAAUAAGCGGAGGA
rnacentral:misc_RNA from 1 species